UGAGGAAUAUUGGUCAAUGGGCGCAAGCCUGAACCAGCCAAGUAGCGUGCAGGAUGACGGCCCUAUGGGUUGUAAACUGCUUUUAUACGGGAAUAAAGGGCUUCACGUGUGAAGUUUUGCAUGUACUGUAUGAAUAAGGACCGGCUAAUUCCGUGCCAGCAGCCGCGGUAAUACGGAAGGUCCGGGCGUUAUCCGGAUUUAUUGGGUUUAAAGGGAGCGUAGGCCGGAGAUUAAGCGUGUUGUGAAAUGUAGUGGCUCAACCUCUGCACUGCAGCGCGAACUGGUCUUCUUGAGUACGCACAACGUGGGCGGAAUUCGUGGUGUAGCGGUGAAAUGCUUAGAUAUCACGAAGAACUCCGAUUGCGAAGGCAGCUCACGGGAGCGCAACUGACGCUGAAGCUCGAAAGUGCGGGUAUCGAACAGGAUUAGAUACCCUGGUAGU
rnacentral:rRNA from 1 species